rnacentral:rRNA from 1 species
UACGUAGGGGGCAAGCGUUGUCCGGAUUUAUUGGGCGUAAAGAGCUCGUAGGUGGUUCGGCAAGUCGGAUGUGAAAUCUCCAGGCUCAACCUGGAGGGGUCAUUCGAUACUGCCGUGACUAGAGGUCGGUAGGGGAGUGUGGAAUUCCUGGUGGAGCGGUGAAAUGCGCAGAUAUCAGGAGGAACACCCGUAGCGAAGGCGGCACUCUGGGCCGAUACUGACACUGAGGAGCGAAAGCGUGGGGAGCGAACAGG